rnacentral:snRNA from 1 species
GUUUGUGCGUGAAUCUAA